AAUGCGUUCCCGGGUCUUGUACACACCGCCCGUCACACCAUGGAAGUUGGGGGCGCCCGAAGUUGCCUAAGAAAUAAGGUACCUAAGGCGAAACCAAUGACUGGGUGAAGUCGUAACAAGGUAUC
rnacentral:rRNA from 1 species